AUGGCGUCGGAGGCCGGCGCCGGCGUCGACGCGGACGCGUACCGCAUCCGGCCGCUCGAGCUCGGCGACCUCUCCAAGGGCUUCUGCGACCUCCUCGCGCAGCUCUCCCCCUCCGCGCCCCUCACCGAGGACUCCUUCCGCUCCCGCUUCGCUGAGCUCGCGGCCCUGGGCGCCGACCACCUCGUCCUCGUCGCGGAGGACGCCGGCACGGGCCGCAUCGCCGCAGCGGGGGCCGUGCUGGUGGAGCGCAAGUUCAUCCGGCGCUGCGGCACCGUGGGGCACGUCGAGGACGUGGUGGUGGACGCCGCGGCGCGCGGCCGGGGGCUCGGGGAGCGCGUCGUGCGCCGCCUCGUGGAGCACGCGAGGGCGAGGGGGUGCUACAAGGUCAUACUGAACUGCACCCCGGAGCUGAGGGGGUUCUACGCCAAGUGCGGAUUCGUGGAGAAGAACGUCCAGAUGGGGCUCUACUUCUGA
rnacentral:rRNA from 1 species